UCAGGAUGAACGCUAGCGACAGGCUAACACAUGCAAGUCGAGGGGCAGCACGGGAGUAGCAAUACAACUGGUGGCGACCGGCGCACGGGUGAGUAACGCGUAUGCAACCUACCUAUCGAGAGGGGAAUAACCCGGCGAAAGUCGGACUAAUACCGCAUAAAACAGGGGCACCGCAUGGUGAUAUUUGUUAAAGAAAUUCGCUGAUAGAUGGGCAUGCGUUCCAUUAGGUAGUUGGUGAGGUAACGGCUCACCAAGCCGACGAUGGAUAGGGGAACUGAGAGGUUGGUCCCCCACACUGGUACUGAGACACGGACCAGACUCCUACGGGAGGCAGCAGUGAGGAAUAUUGGUCAAUGGGCGGGAGCCUGAACCAGCCAAGUCGCCGUGAAGGAAGAAGGAUCUAUGGUUCGUAAACUUCUUUUGCAGGGGAAUAAAGUGCAGGACGUGUCCUGUUUUGUAUGUACCCUGAGAAUAAGGAUCGGCUAACUCCGUGCCAGCCGCAGC
rnacentral:rRNA from 1 species